GGGGGGGGGGGGGGGGGGGGGGGGGGGGGGGGGGGGGGGGGGGGGGGGGGGGGGGGGGGGGGGGGGGGGGGGAGGUGGGACCUGUGGGGGCGGGGCCUGAGGGGCGGGGCGCUGGGGACCCCCAGUAUGGACCAGUACAGACCACUAUAGACCAAUAUGGACCAGUAUGGAACUAGUAUAGACCAGAAUGGACCAGUAUGGGACCAGUAUAGACUAGUAUGGACCAGUAUGGACCCCUAUGGACCAGUAUGGGACCAGUAUAGAUCAGUAGGGACCAGUAUGGAACCAGUAUAGACUAAUAUGGACCAGUAUGGACCCCUAUGGACCAGUAUGGACCCCUAUGGACCAGUAUGGGACCAGUAUGGACUAGUAGGGACCAGUAUGGGGAAAUAUGGACCAGUAUAAACCAUUAUGGAUCACCAUGGACCAUUAUAAACCAGCAUGGACCAGUAUGGACCAGUAUAAUCCAGUAUAGGCCAGCAUAAACCAGUAUAGGACCAGUAUAAACCAGUAAGGACCAAUAUAAAUCAGUAUGGACCAGUAUAAACCAGUAUAGACCGGUAUGGGGAAAUAUAGACUAGUAUAGACCAGUGUGGGCCAGUAUAAACCAGUAUGGACCAGUAUAAACCAGAGUGGACCAGUAUAAACCAGCAUGGACCAGUAUAGGCCAGUAUAAACCAGUGUGGACCAGUAUGGGCCAGUAUAAACCAGUAUGGAUGAGUAUGGACCAGUAAAGACCAGUAAAGACCAGUAUAGACCAGUAUAGGGAAAUAUGGACUACUAUAGACCAGUAUGGGCCGGUAUAAACCAGUGUGGUCCAGUAUAAACCAGUAUGGACCAGCAUGGGCCAGUAUAGACCAAUACAGACCAGUAUAAACCAGUAAGAACCAGUAUGGACUAGUAUGGACCAGUAUAAACCAGUAUGGACCAGCAAAAACCAGUAUGGACAAGUAUAGAUCAGUGUGGACCAGUAUAGACCAGUAUGGGGAAAUAUGGACCAGUAUAAACCAGUAUGGGGCCGGUGUGGACCAGUCAACCCUGUGCCACCAUCACCAGUGCCACCACCCCAAGGCCACCAGUGCCACCAGUAUCACCACCCCAGUGUCACCAUCAGUGCCACCCCAGUGCCACCACCCCAGCGUCACCAUCAGUGCCACCCCAGUGCCACCACCCCAGUGCCACCAUCAGUGCCACCAUCAGUGCCACCAUCAGUGUCACCACCCCAGUGCCACCCCAGUGUCACCACCCCAGUGUCACCGGGGGGGGGGGGGGGGGGGGGGGGGGGGGGGGGGGGGGGGGGGGGGGGGGGGGGGGGGGGGGGG
rnacentral:lncRNA from 12 species